CAAAAAUGUGUAUUUGUGCUCUAAGACCACCCUACAUUUGCCAAUCAAGUCUAUGCUCUACUCUAGUCUCUGAUUAUUUAAAAGACCCUUGGAUUUCAGGGGUGGGUGAUGGUUAAAGUGCAUUGUGUAGCACAUAGGUGGUGCUCAGUUGUAAAUGUAUACUUGGCCUUUAAAACAAAGUAAUCUAGAGCUGUUCACCUUUGGUCUCAAAAGCAUUCUCUAAACCACUUUCAGAAAUUAAUUUGCUGAAUUGCUCAUGGCCUAACUUUAAUCCCAGUGAAGGGCCUAACCUAAGUUAUCACUAAAUCUGUUGUAACUAAAUUCCUAAAUUCAAAAUCCUAAGGCAGCCUUCAAAGCUCUGUGUGAGCUGGUGAACCAUUAAGAGUGAAACCUCUACUUAGGGCUUUAAAAAUUCUUCAAUCUGUUCCUGCCUGCCUCCCCUUCAUUUUAAUCUAUUCUCCCCACUUGUUUACAACACUCUGGUUUUUAAUUUCUAGAAAUUUUGAAACACAUCAAAGUCUUCCCCACUGUCCUCUUGAACUUAAUGUUUCACUACAGGUACUCACUACACGUUGCAACUUUCCUUGCCACACUCAUGCUAUUGUAGUCUGUUGUGAGGAGGACAUAGCACUUCUUUACCAGUGUAAUAUAAUUAUUUGCUUGCAAUCAUUUAAUAUCUUUGUUUUUACAACCUCAUCAAUCAUCUUUAUCACCCCAGCAGCUGGCACAUGGUAUUCAGUAUAUAUUUUUGUUGAAUGAGUGAGAAAUCUAGAUAGCUUCUUGUAUUAAUUUAAGGUAUAGUUUACUUUUUAAAACUAAUAGUCCCUGUUUUUCACUAGAAAUUUAAAUUAAUGGAUGUACAGAUUGAAAAAGCUAAAUUUCUUGCCUUUGCCUUCAGCUUCGUAGCUCAUGUAGUUAUCUGGAGUCUUAGUUAAUGAGUACAAAGCCUAAUUCCCCAGUUCUUUGUGCUCAAUGUUAUCAUUAAGUAUUCAUUAAAAGUCAUCUAUAAAGAAAUAUGUAUAAUGAAAUACAUAUAAUAAUGUAUAAUGAAAGAAGAGUUACCACAGUGCUACCUAAAAGGGUCAUAGUACUAAAGGCUUUAUGUCUCUACACUAAUGUGUCUACUACAGUAGAAUUAUGCCAAUGUGGCAUAAUGUGGCAAUGUCUUCCAUCAGUAUCAUUUUAAAUACUAAGUUAAAACAUGCCAACUUCUAAUGUGUUAGCUCUUCCCUUUCCUCUAAUUUCCUAUAUUUCUAAGUGACUUUUUAGAUCCCUGUUUUAAUUCCAAGCCUCUUGUAUGUAGUAAGUGACAUCAGUAGUUUUAUGAUUAAAGUAAUGAUGGCUAUAAUAUUUACACAAAAGGUCAAUGAAAAUGUUUACUUGUUCAGUAGAACAUUUAACUUAAUAAAAGACUGAAUUUGGAAAAGUUUAAUAUUAAAAGCUUGAGAAGGUGGCAAGUUCUGAAAGUAACCUAAGAAAUUUUGAUGGGGAUUUUAACUAUCCAAAAAACUUAUACUAUUAUAACUUAAAGAUGAUAAACAAUUUACCUGAAGUCAUUCCAGAAGCCAUUUUGCCAUCAUCUGAGUCUGAAACCUCAUUGUGGCCAUAGAGCUUUUAAUUAUCCAUUUAUUCUUCCUCAUUUAUUCAUUAGGCAUUUAUUAUAUAUGAUAUGGUGCUUAGAGAUGCUCAAGGGCAUGGCAUAGUUUUAAAAGUUCAUAUGAAGAAGUGCUAAAAACUCAACAGGGCAUAUUUUUAAUGUAUGUAAAACAUAAUUUAAAAGUAAUUAACAUGAAAGUAUUUUCCAAA
rnacentral:lncRNA from 1 species